GACGGGGAUGCGAGCGUUAUCCGGAAUGAUUGGGCGUAAAGGGUCCGCAGGUGGCCCGGUCAGUCCGCUGUCAAAGCCUGGGCUCAACCCUGGAGAGGCGGCGGAGACCACCGGGCUUGAGUCCGGUAGGGCAGAGGGAAUUUCCGGUGGAGCGGUGAAAUGCGUAGAGAUCGGAAAGAACACCAACGGCGAAAGCACUCUGCUGGGCCGACACUGACACUGAGAGACGAAAGCUAGGGGAGCGAAUGGG
rnacentral:rRNA from 1 species